rnacentral:lncRNA from 1 species
AUUUUUUUCUCAGUGAUGUAAGUGGUAAAAUAGUUGUUUGAAAACUAAAACGUAUACCAAACUUCUCUAAAACGCACUUUUAUCUCUUAAGAAAUAAUGUAAAACAUAAAAAGAAUCUAUGAUGGAUAAGAUGACAAGUAGCAUUUAGUAAGCAUCUGUAACCACAGUCCUGACAAAAAGUCACAGAAUAUAAAGUCGGCAAAUAAUUUGUGUUAUUAUAAGAAAUAUAGAAC